UACAGAGGGUGCAAGCGUUAAUCGGAAUUACUGGGCGUAAAGCGUGCGUGGACGGUAGCGUAAGUCAGAUGUGAAAGCCCCGGGCUCAACCUGGGAACUGCAUUUGAGACUGCUCUGCUCGGGUGCGGAAGAGGGAAGCGGAAUUUCCGGUGUAGCGGUGAAAUGCGUAGAUAUCGGAAGGAACACCAGUGGCGAAAGCGGCUUCCUGGUCCGACACUGACGUUCAGGCACGAAAGCGUGGGGAGCAAACAGGG
rnacentral:rRNA from 1 species